ACAGUAGCUAAAACUAAUAUCAAAACACAUUUAACUUCAUGAGCAGUUAUCACAUUCCCAUAAACCCUAGCAAAAAGCACUAUGAAAUUGAAUUAUGGAACCAGAAACUGCAUUGCAGUUUCUGGUCAAAAUCUUCUACAAACAACCAGAAAUCAAAAAGGCAAAAACAGUAGCUAAAACUAAUAUCAAAACACAUUUAAAUUC
rnacentral:lncRNA from 1 species